rnacentral:tRNA from 1 species
CAGGGAGACAAAACUGAUUAUGAUGUCUGAUUAAAAAUAUUAGGCCUUAAUCCUGUCACCUUAGGUCGAUCGGUACCUCAGAUUGAGAGCUAAAACAUAGGAGUAAUUCUUAUUACUUAUAUAUUUAACUUUCAGUUUUAGUUCCUAAACUUGUCUAGGUCACACCCAACAAACUUUCUCCUGGGCUAUUAGCUCAGGCGGUUAGAGCGCACCCCUGAUAAGGGUGAGGUCCCUGGUUCAAGUCCAGGAUGGCCCAUUCGUUGUUGGGGGUAUAGCUCAGUUGGUAGAGCGCCUGCUUUGCAAGCAGGAUGUCAGCGGUUCGAGUCCGCUUACCUCCACUGAUCAACUACCUGAUAACUCAUUUUGGAGAUUGUUAUUUGGUUAAUGUGAUUUAGACGUUGUUCCUCUGAAUGAACCUAGCUUCCUAUCAAUCUUUAAUUUAUUUGGCUGAUAAGACGCUGGGCUCACUGAUAUUCAAACGAAUAUCGGAUUGAUUCAGCAGAACCUUGACAACUGCAUAGGAAAAUCUAGAAAAAUAAAGCAUCUCAUAGAUGCAUAGGAAAUUGAUAUUUAAAAAAUUUUAAUAUCAUUUUUCUGUGCUCAAUUCUUGAGUUAGAGCACAAUUCCUUUUGUAUUUAUAUUUGAAUCGAUAGGAAUUAAAU